AAACUGAAGAGUUUGAUCCUGGCUCAGAUUGAACGCUGGCGGCAUGCUUUACACAUGCAAGUCGAACGGCAGCGGAGAUGCUUGCAUCUGCCGGCGAGUGGCGAACGGGUGAGUAAUGCAUCGGAACGUGUCCUUAAGUGGGGAAUAACGCAUCGAAAGAUGUGCUAAUACCGCGUAGUCUCUUAGGAGUAAAGCAGGGGAUCGCAAGACCUUGCGCUUAAGGAGCGGCUGAUGUCUGAUUAGCUAGUUGGUAAGGUAAAAGCUUACCAAGGCGACGAUCAGUAGUUGGUCUGAGAGGACGACCAACCACACUGGGACUGAGACACGGCCCAGACUCCUACGGGAGGCAGCAGUGGGGAAUUUUGGACAAUGGGCGAAAGCCUGAUCCAGCCAUGCCGCGUGAGUGAAGAAGGCCUUCGGGU
rnacentral:rRNA from 1 species